UACAGAGGUCUCAAGCGUUGUUCGGAUUCAUUGGGCGUAAAGGGUGCGUAGGUGGCGAGGCAAGUCAGAUGUGAAAUCCCGGGGCUCAACCCCCGGAACUGCAUUUGAAACUGCCUUGCUCGAGUACUGGAGAGGAGACUGGAAUUUACGGUGUAGCAGUGAAAUGCGUAGAGAUCGUAAGGAAGACCAGUGGCGAAGGCGGGUCUCGUGGACAGUUCCUGACACUGAGGCACGAAGGCCAGGGGAGCAAACGGG
rnacentral:rRNA from 1 species